rnacentral:tRNA from 1 species
UAAGAUGCUAGUAACAAGAAUUACAUUGCCUUGUCAAGGCAAAAUUGCGGGUUAAAGCCCCGUGCAUCUUAA